rnacentral:rRNA from 14 species
UGGGGGAUAACGUCCGGAAACGGACGCUAAUACCGCAUACGUCCUACGGGAGAAAGCAGGGGACCUUCGGGCCUUGCGCUAUCAGAUGAGCCUAGGUCGGAUUAGCUAGUUGGUGGGGUAAUGGCUCACCAAGGCGACGAUCCGUAACUGGUCUGAGAGGAUGAUCAGUCACACUGGAACUGAGACACGGUCCAGACUCCUACGGGAGGCAGCAGUGGGGAAUAUUGGACAAUGGGCGAAAGCCUGAUCCAGCCAUGCCGCGUGUGUGAAGAAGGUCUUCGGAUUGUAAAGCACUUUAAGUUGGGAGGAAGGGCAGUAAAUUAAUACUUUGCUGUUUUGACGUUACCGACAGAAUAAGCACCGGCUAACUCUGUGCCAGCAGCCGCGGUAAUACAGAGGGUGCAAGCGUUAAUCGGAAUUACUGGGCGUAAAGCGCGCGUAGGUGGUUCGUUAAGUUGGAUGUGAAAUCCCCGGGCUCAACCUGGGAACUGCAUUCAAAACUGACGAGCUAGAGUAUGGUAGAGGGUGGUGGAAUUUCCUGUGUAGCGGUGAAAUGCGUA